UCAGUUAAAUUGCUGGAUUCCCUGUUUGUCCGUGGACUAGUGGUUGGGACCUCUCAUACCGGCGUCUUUAGCUCCCUGACGGUGAAUGUUACAAGCUGCGAUAGGACGCCUGACGCUGGGAUUAAUACGGCUGGAUUUCUCCCAAGGGUCCCGUGUGUUGUGGUGCGGCGGUGACGGCUGCUUCAUCUUACGUGGGACGGCGGCUCUGCUCUGCCUAGCGGCGGCUCUGCUCUGCCUUACUGCUGCUGUUUAGUGACGCUCGCAUGGUCUCGCGCUUUGUGCGUUUUUGGUUUGUCUUGUUCAGCCUGUAGCAGGCUGAUUCGUCUGCGGGUCCUUAGCUGGGGAACUGUUUGGCUGGGUGUGCGUCCAACUGCGUGAGAGCGGGUGUUGGAGGGGCUGACUGGUCCCCCACUUUUCAAAGGUCUGUGUUCUUUUUCUUUUGUUUUAAUGGUAUUAUGUUUGUUUUUGUUAUAUUUGGUGUCAUGUUCUGAAUGAAUAAUGUCCUUAUCGUGUAUAAAUGUAAUGGUUUUGUAUUUUAUUUGUUUGGUUGAUUUGAUUUUCCUUUUUAGACUGCAGUGUUUUUCUUUGGUUUUUGUGUGAUUACUAUUGUGGUUUGCCGUUAUCUUGUUUUCCCUCCCCACCUGUGAUCGUAUGAUUCUUGCGGGUUCGGCUGUGCAGUCUUAGGUUCCAGCGCCCAGCCUUAGACUGGCGAGAAGUGGCUGCUGGUACGCGGGCGGUAUUUCAAGCCUACGGCGCUCUGAUUGGACUGGUCUUCUUAUGGUUUUAACUUUUAAUAAAGUGUGUUUGGAACAA